GGGGCAUAAUAAAUGAUCCUUAGGGUGUAUUUAAUAAGAUUGUAGUAUCCCAUCAUGGCACACAGCUAGCCGAUCAGGAUAUGGUGUUUGAGAAAUAUGACCUUGAUGUGGCCUCUCCAAAUCGUAUGAUGGCCAUAUUCGGUUUGCAGUUAGUCGGUGGAGAUCCAUAUUAUCUGAGUCGGUAGGAUGGAAUUGUCGAGAUAUUGUAUUUUCAUUUG
rnacentral:lncRNA from 1 species